rnacentral:misc_RNA from 1 species
AACGCACCUUGCGCCCUUUGGUAUUCCGAAGGGCAUGCCUGUUUGAGUGUCAUUAUAUUCUCAACCUUGCAAAGCUUGCUUUGUUAGGCUUGGAUGUGAGGGCUUUGCUGGCUUCCAUUGAGUUGGAUGGUCUGCUCCCUUCAAAUUUAUUAGUGGGAUCCUUUGUGGAUGGUCACUUGGUGUGAUAAUUAUCUACGCCGCCUGACUGUGAAGCAAAACUUGUGGGGACCUGCUUAUAACUGUCUCUUUGGGGACUAUCUUUGACUAUUUGACCUCAAGUCAGGUAGGACUACCCGCUGAACUUAA